GAUGGGGAUGGGAGCUACCCAAAUAUUUGCUCCAAGUUUUCUAUUAGAAGACUGAGGGUCAAGCUGGGGAGGUGGUUCACUGGGUAAAAUGGUUGCUAGGUAAGCAUGAAGACCUGAGUUUGGAUUUCUAAUACAGACAGAUCCUGCUGUGGUGACUUCUUGCUGAGACAGACUGUGUCCUUGAACUGUGGUGACUUCCUGCCAAGAUAGAGUAUGACCUUGAACUGUGGUGACUUCCUGCCAAGACAGACUGUAGCCUUGAACUGUGGUGACUUCCUGCCAAGACAGACUGUGACUUUGAACUGUGAGCCAGAGUAAACCCUUUGUUCCUUUAAGUUGCUUAUUUCAGAGUAUUUUAUCACAGCAAUUGGCAAAAGAAUACGUUGCAUAAAGCUGGAGGCAGUAACAUGUGUCUAUAAUCAUGGCACACCUACAGUGAGAUGGGAGGCUUAAGACAGAAGAACUUCCCCUGUACACUACCCCCACUUGCCUGGCAUCUGUGGUCAUGAGUGACAAGAGAGACCCUGUAUCAAACAAGAUGGUAGAUGAACAAAAAAUAACUCUGUCCUGCAGAUGUGCACCACAGCAUAUAAGUGUCCACUCAUGAGUACGACACACACACACACAGUGUAUGUACACACAGGUACACAUACAAGACUGGGACAUAUACAGGCAGAGCAUAGUAGUUCAAACAGCAAGCACCUCACACUUAAAUGACCACCGCUCUUAUAUUAAUUAAGUCCUACAUCUUUCAACUGGGAAUAUCACCCUGUCUUUUGUGAACCGAACUGUGCAUCUCCUAGUCCAUCUCAUAUAUUAAAUUCCUAGCCCCUGACCACCCUGCAUGUGACUGUCUUCAGAGAGGUCUGUUAAUAGAGAAAACAGCAGUAAAACAUUUUUAGGAGGACCCCUAACCUAAUGUGAUACCAAACCCCUAUGAUAAUAUGACUGGGGAUUAGGUCACAGGUAGAGGGGAGACCAUGUGAGGAUGUGGGAAGAUGGCCAUUUCCAAGCCUGGGGCAAGGACCUUAGGAGAAACUAGACCUGGCAUGCCUUGAUCUAAGCCUUAUAGCCUCUGAAUUGUGAGGAAAAUAAAUGUCUUUAAUUACCAACUCUGUGGCACUUGUUUCACAGUCUUAGCAGACUCAUACACGCCCUAAUAUCACUAUAGUGAAGAUGAAGCAAUGCUUGUGAAGGGAGUGAGUACUGUGGCCAGCAUGAAUGACUCAUAAGUUGACCCUUCUUUCUCCCUAGGUUUGUAGCUGGCGUUGCUACUUUGUGGGUGUUUCUUUUUCUCCAUCCUUCUCCACUCUAUCAACUCCUUACUCGUAGCUGGUCUUUGCAACUGACUAUGGUCAAUCCAAAGCAGCCCUAUAUCCCACACCUGGGAUUAAAAUGAAAACAUAUUCUGUUUACAUUUCAGUAUUUUUAAAAGAAAAUUCUGUAAUUCUCACUACACAGGUCUUUUCACCCAGCCUCUUAAAUUCAUGUGGGACCAGAUAAGAGUUGGACUAAAACCCAAGAUGAAAAUUCUAGAAUCCCAGCAGUCACCCAUGACAACCAUAUUAAUCAGCAGCAUUCUGUACCUGAAAUACUUAACUUACAAAAGAGAAAGAUUUUUCUGGACUUGGAGUUAUGGAAGUUUCUGCCUGUAAUUGGUUGAUCCCAUUGCUUUUAGGUUUCUGACCGCCCAUCAUGCAAGUGGAAGAGCAAAGCCAAUCUCAUUAUGAUCAGGCAGCAAAAAGUAUACACCCCCAGUGACCUCGGGCCUCCCACUAGGCACCACCUCUUAAAGGCACUUGGGAGAGUAAGCCAUAUGAUUUUUGGUCUAACCUGUAAGUCAAGGCAAGCCAGGUCUCCUGCCUGCAGUUGCUACUCCCAUAUCUUCAGGUAAUAUGUUGGCCUGAAAAUCCUCUACUCCCUUAUCAAUAGGCCUGUCCCUCUUAAAAGAUGUUAGAUAUUUCUAAAGUGAACAUUUGUUAAAGAAUCAGACUCUUUACCUGGUUCCAGAAAUCAGAAUUUGAGCUAAACAGAGGUGUAGGGGAAGUUUGCUGGUUCUCCAGCCCGGAUUACUCCUGGGACACCAACAGCCUGGAUAUGCUAAGAAUAAAGAUGGGCCAAUCAUUACCAACCACAGUGCUGUAACCUAUGAGCCAGACUCUCUGGUUAUACGAGAUUUGGCUUUAUUCCCUUCUGAUAAUCUUAAGCUUCCACUAGAACUCACCUGCUAUAAUGUUCUUAGGUUAGAAUUAUCUUAGACUGAAAGAGAAACAUUUCCACCACUGCCUGCACUCUCAGCAGACAUCACUAAUCAAUCAUGUCCUCUCUCCUAGUCUGCUUAGCCCUCUAGUUAUAACUUCUCAGUAUAGUCCCCACAAGGAGUCACCAGUACUCAGGACUGAGCCUACUCCUAUAAUAGAGCUUCAGGGGGACUGUGGGAUUGUGACCAUCAUGAUCAAAAUGUGACACUUAGGGACAUAAACUGGGCUUCUCCAGUUCUUCUCCUUUAUCAGGAAGAUCAAGGCUGAGUUGCUAAGGUCAGCUUCGGUCUCCUCACAAUACAACAGAGACAUUUUGUCUCAGCCUGAACUGUUCAAGGGGACACACUCCUGGGCAUUUCAUUCCAUUUUUCUCUGCCAUUAGCCAAUAGUAAGUAGAGAAGAAAUCUUCACAUUUCCCACUAACCUGCUGAAGGAGACUGAGUCUUGAGGUAGAACCUAUCUUUGGAGUCAGAGGACCAGCCCAGAAAUGAAGAUGGUAAGUCUGUUCUGAGCCCACUGAUGCUGACAGAAAGAACUGUAGGUGAGCAUAACGGUACAUUUAGCUGAACCCAUUCUCUGCCUCAGUAGGAAGUAGAACAUCACCUCCAGCUGCUACACAGACUUCAUUACAACUUCCCAGUCUCUAGGAGUCCAGAGACCACAACCCGUUUCUCUUUCCUGAGUCCCUUGGAACUAUUUCUCUGGAAAUUGGAUGGAGGUUUUCUCUCUCCCUUCUCAUCCUUACCAUACAAGCAUCACAGAAGAGAAGGACCCUCAUUUCCAAAGGAUUACUUGGGCUUAAAUAUCUUUUUUGCAAACCAUCAAAAACUUUUAAUUCUCCCUUGCUCCAGGCAGGACCAAAAAAUACAGGCACCCUGGGAAUAGUUUGAGUUCCUUUCAAACUAAUAGUCUUUAAACAACAACCCAACAUUUUUUUGAACAGAAGUAGUGUUUUUCUUUUUAAAAAAUAAUGGUUUGAUAUAUUUUAUUUAUGUACCAAAUUAGAGAUUUAUGGCAUGCAUUUGUUAGCUGUCAUGUUCCAAACCACACAAUUUAUUGGCAGCCCAUAAACUAGCUCAGCUGCUUAAAAUGUAGAUGAUAAUAAUAAUAAUAAAAAUGACACAGUUCCAAUAAGCUGCGCUGUCCCGUGCCUUAGCUCCUUCGGCUUUUAGGAUGCAGCAUCUCUGAGCUGCCUACUCUUGAGGCUUUGAGGCUGGGCUGCACUUCCAUUCCGAGCUCUCUGCCGCUGAGCAAGGGAACCCAAGAAGUGCUGACAUCACCACUGGCUUACCUGCACUUGGCAGGCCUGAGGAUACUCAGCCUGAAAUUUCAGAAGAGGUAGCAGGGUCCUGAACCUUGCUUGCUUAGGUGGAGCUAGCCCUACUCUGUCUACUGGAAGCUUAGGCUCUCCUCAGAAGAAAAGGCUUGGGGGACAGGGUCUCUGGCUCUGUUUUACAGAAUUGUCAUUGGGUAGAUGGGGUGACAUUACUUAACCUUCUUACUGCUAGGAUGAAAUGCCUGGCAAAAGCAACCUUGGAAUUUGGAAAUAGGGAAGAAAGGGCUUAUUUUGGUUUGGAAUUGAGAGCAUAGUCAGUUAUAGGGGGAAAGCCAUGGCAGUAGAUAGGUGAGGUCACAUUCCAUUGCAAGUAGAUGGCAGAGGAGACAAAUGCUAGUCCUCAACUCACUGCCUGCUGUCUAUCCUGUCUAGGACUCAGGCCACAGAAUGGCUCCACCCAUAUCUGAGAUUGGUCCUUCCACCUCAAUUAGCUGUCUAGAAGCUCACACAGAUAUGUCCCGAGGUUUGUCUUCCGGGUGAUUUUAGAUCCUGCCAUCAAUCAAAGUGCAUCGUUUCAGGCAGGUGUAAACUCUUAAGUAAACACCUCUUUCUGAACAGAACCAAGGUGGACAGCUGCAUUGCUUGAUCCUAGAAUUUCUUCUUAUCCCCAUGUCUCUACACUGCAUUUGGAACAAUGCUCCCUUAUUCUCUCUGAACCAUUUGCAGAAGGAUCUGGGACCACUUCUAAAGCAGUUCCCUCCCACGGUAAUCCUUGUUAUAGCUUGGAUAUGGAGUGUCCCACAAAGGCCACAUGCUGAAGGUUUGUUUUUCAGUGUAUCCUUUGGAGAUGAUGGGAAUUUUAAGACAUGGAGCUUAUUAAAAGAAGGUUAUAUGACUGGAGGCUUGCCCUGAAGGGGGAUGUCAGUGUUCCAGAACCUUCCUCACACUCUUUGUUUAUUUGUCUUGUUUUGUUUUCUUACUCUGCUUUCCAGCCACUGUGAGUCAGGGUUAUCUAUAGGAGCUAUACUGAAAGAAUAAAAUCUGUAUAUGUAUGUGUAUGGUAUGUGUAUGUAUAUGUAUAUAUAAAUGAUUUUUUAGAGUGAUUUACAGGAUGUGGUCUGGGUAGUCCAACAAGGGCUGUUUCACAUUGGAGAGACAGAGAAUCCACAUUGGAGAGACAGAGAAUCCAUCAGCUGGUCAGUAAAGAGGAAGGACGACUAAUCAUCUCCAAUGUGGCACACUGAAGACCUGGAGGAUCCCUGGAGAGCUGCUGAUCUUCAGUCUACAUUACAUCCCUAAGGAGUUGGUUAUAACCUCAGUAAAGAAAUACCACAGCAGCAGGAUAGAUGGACUUGUCAGCAGGAACAAACAGGCAAAAGGCAGUGUCCUUCUUCAGUGUCCUUUUAUCUGGAUUGCUCCAGUAGGUGCUGCCCAGAUUUAGGGUGGAUCUUUCUGCUUCAAGUAAUCUGUUCAAGAAAACCCCCUACAAGCAUGCCCAGCCGUUUAUUGUUUAGUUUAUUCCCAGUGCAGUCAAGUUGACAACCAGAACUAGCAACAACAGGUGACCAUUGCUAAACUCCCCUGUCAGUGAUGAGCAGUACUGCCUUCAGCCCAAAGUCACAGGGACUGAAACUUCUGAAAGCACAAACAAAAAUAAACGUCUCCUGUAAGUUGUUUAUCUCUACUAUUCUGUCAUGGCAACAUAAAACUGACUGUUCCUUCUUCUUCCAGAAUCUGAUAAGAAGGAGUCCCCUGGGCGUCCUGACAUCAGAGAACCUCUCCCAUCAUGGGCUUCUUUCUCCUUCACUUGCUGGGAGCUGCAAGACCAAGGCACAAAACUGAGGCAUAGACUCCUAGUUUAUAAGGUGCUUGAUUGCUUGGGAUUUGACAGAUCUGGUUAGAGAUGCUCUCAGUGCAUAGUAAUGAGAACGCUGUCAGGCUAAUGCCAUUUUUGACAUUUGAAGGAAGAGGCUCAUGUGAUUUUUGGUUAUUUAAAGGUAAGAUGCCUGGAACUUUGUCUUCUUGUCAAAAUGACAAGGAAUAAAGAGGGUUUUUUUUUUUCCUUCUUGUCUACCCUAACAAGUAGGAUGUUACAGAGAACUCGCUAUUAUAAUAAACUCAGCAAAUAAGAUCACUAUUGGUGUGGGAGAGGAACAGGUCAGCAAAGUGCAUUGUUCUUAUUCACCAUUACCAUUGUCACAAUUGCCAUAAUCAUCUCCAGUAUCUUCCUCAUUACCAUUUUUUAUCCCCUCACCCUCAGUACCACCACCAUCAUCAACAUUACCACCACCAUACCACCAUCAUCACAACUACCAUUACCACUAUUUCCACUACUGCUAUCACAACCAUUCCCCCACCACUAUCACCAUCAUCAACACCAUCACCACUACUACCACUGCCAUUAUCAUCAUCAGUAUUAUAACCACCACUACCAUAUCUUGCUUACAAUUACCACCACCAGCGUCAUCAUUGGGACACAGGUGUGUGAGUGAGAAGAACUCUGUAAAGGAUUAGUCAGAUUAAACAGUUGUCAUACUGCCUGAUUUGAGAAUUGUGAAGCUCUUAAAUCAAGAGAAACUCCUGGGUUCCUUUAGGUGUGCAAUAAAUGUAUAUGGUGUCAC